GGAGAGGUCGCCUAGAGGCCGAGGGCGUCGGUUUGCUAAACCGAUAUACCGUUGAAAAGCGGUAUCGUGGGUUCGACUCCCACCCUCUCCG
rnacentral:tRNA from 1 species